CUAGAAUUUUGGAACCUGUCGCCCGCAUUUCUACGAAUACAUUUACUUUGGAAAAAGUCAAUUUUUACAAUUGAUAAAAGUUCAACAAUGAAAAACACAACUUUCUUUUUCCAUAUAAUUGGACUUCUGUUCAUUAUGUGUAUAUUCUUUAUGCAAGUCCAUGCGAUUGAUCUUCCUGGUGCACCAGGCGACAAUCAACGACCAAGCUCCGAGAAUUUUGGUGAAGAGCAUGUAAAUUGAAGUUUGAUGAAAAAUAAAAAAUUACUUUUAAGAAAAA